GACGGAAGGUGCAAGCGUUGCUCGGAAUCACUGGGCGUAAAGGGCGCGUAGGCGGCACCGCAAGUCGACUGUGAAAUCUCCGGGCUUAACCCGGAAAGGUCAGCCGAUACUGCGGGGCUAGAGUGCAGAAGGGGCAACUGGAAUUCUCGGUGUAGCGGUGAAAUGCGUAGAUAUCGAGAGGAACACCUGCGGCGAAGGCGGGUUGCUGGGCUGACACUGACGCUGAUGCGCGAAAGCGUGGGGAGCAAACAGG
rnacentral:rRNA from 1 species